GUGGGGAAUCUUGCGCAAUGGGCGAAAGCCUGACGCAGCCAUGCCGCGUGAAUGAUGAAGGUCUUAGGAUUGUAAAAUUCUUUCACCGGGGACGAUAAUGACGGUACCCGGAGAAGAAGCUCCGGCUAACUUCGUGCCAGCAGCCGCGGUAAUACGAAGGGGGCUAGCGUUGCUCGGAAUUACUGGGCGUAAAGGGCGCGUAGGCGGACAGCUUAGUCAGAGGUGAAAGCCCAGGGCUCAACCUUGGAAUUGCCUUUGAUACUGGCUGUCUUGAGUUUGGGAGAGGGGAGUGGAACUCCGAGUGUAGAGGUGAAAUUCGUAGAUAUUCGGAAGAACACCAGUGGCGAAGGCGACUCACUGGCCCAAUACUGACGCUGAGGCGCGAAAGCGUGGGGAGCAAACAGGAUUAGAUACCCUGGUAGUCC
rnacentral:rRNA from 1 species